rnacentral:rRNA from 1 species
CACCAUUUAAAGAGUGCGUAAUAGCUCACUAGUCGAGUGACUCUGCGCCGAAAAUGUACCGGGGCUAAAUACACCACCGAAGCUGCGGAUUGAUACCAAUGGUAUCAGUGGUAGGGGAGCGUUCUAAGGACAGUGAAGUCAGACCGGAAGGACUGGUGGAGUGCUUAGAAGUGAGAAUGCCGGUAUGAGUAGCGAAAGACGGGUGAGAAUCCCGUCCACCGAAUGCCUAAGGUUUCCUGAGGAAGGCUCGUCCGCUCAGGGUUAGUCAGGACCUAAGCCGAGGCCGACAGGCGUAGGCGAUGGACAACAGGUUGAUAUUCCUGUACCACCUCUUUAUCGUUUGAGCAAUGGAGGGACGCAGAAGGAUAGAAGAAGCGUGCGAUUGGUUGUGCACGUCCAAGCAGUUAGGCUGAUAAGUAGGCAAAUCCGCUUAUCGUGAAGGCUGAGCUGUGAUGGGGAAGCUCCUUAUGGAGCGAAGUCUUUGAUUCCCCGCUGCCAAGAAAAGCUUCUAGCGAGAUAAAAGGUGCCUGUACCGCAAACCGACACAGGUAGGCGAGGAGAGAAUCCUAAGGUGUGCGAGAGAACUCUGGUUAAGGAACUCGGCAAAAUGACCCCGUAACUUCGGGAGAAGGGGUGCUUUCUUAACGGAAAGCCGCAGUGAAUAGGCCCAAGCGACUGUUUAGCAAAAACACAGCUCUCUGCGAAGCCGUAAGGCGAAGUAUAGGGGGUGACACCUGCCCGGUGCUGGAAGGUUAAGGAGAGGGGUUAGCGUAAGCGAAGCUCUGAACUGAAGCCCCAGUAAACGGCGGCCGUAACUAUAACGGUCCUAAGGUAGCGAAAUUCCUUGUCGGGUAAGUUCCGACCCGCACGAAAGGUGUAACGAUUUGGGCACUGUCUCAACCAGAGACUCGGUGAAAUUAUAGUACCUGUGAAGAUGCAGGUUACCCGCGACAGGACGGAAAGACCCCGUGGAGCUUUACUGUAGCCUGAUAUUGAAUUUUGGUACAGUUUGUACAGGAUAGGCGGGAGCCUUUGAAACCGGAGCGCUAGCUUCGGUGGAGGCGCUGGUGGGAUACCGCCCUGACUGUAUUGAAAUUCUAACCUACGGGUCUUAUCGACCCGGGAGACAGUGUCAGGUGGGCAGUUUGACUGGGGCGGUCGCCUCCUAAAGUGUAACGGAGGCGCCCAAAGGUUCCCUCAGAAUGGUUGGAAAUCAUUCGUAGAGUGCAAAGGCAUAAGGGAGCUUGACUGCGAGACCUACAAGUCGAGCAGGGACGAAAGUCGGGCUUAGUGAUCCGGUGGUUCCGCAUGGAAGGGCCAUCGCUCAACGGAUAAAAGCUACCCCGGGGAUAACAGGCUUAUCUCCCCCAAGAGUCCACAUCGACGGGGAGGUUUGGCACCUCGAUGUCGGCUCAUCGCAUCCUGGGGCUGUAGUCGGUCCCAAGGGUUGGGCUGUUCGCCCAUUAAAGCGGUACGCGAGCUGGGUUCAGAACGUCGUGAGACAGUUCGGUCCCUAUCCGUCGUGGGCGUAGGAAAUUUGAGAGGAGCUGUCCUUAGUACGAGAGGACCGGGAUGGACGCACCGCUGGUGUACCAGUUGUUCUGCCAAGGGCAUAGCUGGGUAGCUAUGUGCGGAAGGGAUAAGUGCUGAAAGCAUCUAAGCAUGAAGCCCCCCUCCAAGAUGAGAUUUCCCAUAGCGUAAGCUAGUAAGAUCCCYUGAAAGAUGAUCAGGUUGAUAGGUUCGAGGUGGAAGCAUGGUGACAUGUGGAGCUGACGAAUACUAAUAGAUCGAGGACUUAACCAU